rnacentral:rRNA from 1 species
CCUACGGGAGGCAGCAGUGGGGAAUAUUGGACAAUGGGGGCGACCCUGAUCCAGCCAUGCCGCGUGUGUGAAGAAGGCCCUCGGGUUGUAAAGCACUUUCAGUGAGGAAGAACGCCUGGUGGUUAAUACCCAUCAGGAAAGACAUCACUCACAGAAGAAGCACCGGCUAACUCCGUGCCAGCAGCCGCGGUAAUACGGAGGGUGCGAGCGUUAAUCGGAAUUACUGGGCGUAAAGCGCGCGUAGGAGGCUUGAUAAGCCGGUUGUGAAAGCCCCGGGCUCAACCUGGGAACGGCAUCCGGAACUGUCAAGCUAGAGUGCAGGAGAGGAAGGUAGAAUUCCCGGUGUAGCGGUGAAAUGCGUAGAGAUCGGGAGGAAUACCAGUGGCGAAGGCGGCCUUCUGGACUGACACUGACACUGAGGUGCGAAAGCGUGGGUAGCAAACAGGAUUAGAUACCCUUGUAGUC